ACGGGUGAGUAAUGUCUGGGGAUCUGCCCGAUAGAGGGGGAUAACCACUGGAAACGGUGGCUAAUACCGCAUAACGUCGCAAGACCAAAGAGGGGGACCUUCGGGCCUCUCACUAUCGGAUGAACCCAGAUGGGAUUAGCUAGUAGGCGGGGUAACGGCCCACCUAGGCGACGAUCCCUAGCUGGUCUGAGAGGAUGACCAGCCACACUGGAACUGAGACACGGUCCAGACUCCUACGGGAGGCAGCAGUGGGGAAUAUUGCACAAUGGGCGCAAGCCUGAUGCAGCCAUGCCGCGUGUAUGAAGAAGGCCUUCGGGUUGUAAAGUACUUUCAGCGGGGAGGAAGGCAGUGAGGUUAAUAACCUUACUGACUGACGUUACCCGCAGAAGAAGCACCGGCUAACUCCGUGCCAGCAGCCGCGGUAAUACGGAGGGUGCAAGCGUUAAUCGGAAUUACUGGGCGUAAAGCGCACGCAGGCGGUCUGUUAAGUCAGAUGUGAAAUCCCCGGGCUUAACCUGGGAACUGCAUUUGAAACUGGCAGGCUUGAGUCUCGUAGAGGGGGGUAGAAUUCCAGGUGUA
rnacentral:rRNA from 1 species